GAUGAACGCUGGCGGCGUGCCUAAUACAUGCAAGUCGAGCGAACAGACGAGGAGCUUGCUCCUCUGACGUUAGCGGCGGACGGGUGAGUAACACGUGGAUAACCUACCUAUAAGACUGGGAUAACUUCGGGAAACCGGAGCUAAUACCGGAUAAUAUAUUGAACCGCAUGGUUCAAUAGUGAAAGACGGUUUUGCUGUCACUUAUAGAUGGAUCCGCGCCGCAUUAGCUAGUUGGUAAGGUAACGGCUUACCAAGGCGACGAUGCGUAGCCGACCUGAGAGGGUGAUCAGCCACACUGGAACUGAGACACGGUCCAGACUCCUACGGGAGGCAGCAGUAGGGAAUAUUCCACAAUGGGCGAAAGCCUGAUGGAGCAACGCCGCGUGAGUGAUGAAGGUCUUCGGAUUGUAAAACUCUGUUAUUAGGGAAGAAAAAAUGUGUAAGUAACUAUGCACGUCUUGACGGUACCUAAUCAAAAAGCAACGGCUAACUACGUG
rnacentral:rRNA from 1 species